UGAGGAAUAUUGGUCAAUGGACGAGAGUCUGAACCAGCCAAGUAGCGUGCAGGAUGACGGCCCUAUGGGUUGUAAACUGCUUUUGUUUGGGAAUAAUCGACAUUACGUGUAAUGUUUUGCAUGUACCAUUCGAAUAAGGACCGGCUAAUUCCGUGCCAGCAGCCGCGGUAAUACGGAAGGUCCAGGCGUUAUCCGGAUUUAUUGGGUUUAAAGGGAGUGUAGGCGGUUGGUUAAUCGUGUUGUGAAAUGUAGAUGCGCAACAUCUGACGUGCAGCGGGAACUGGCUGACUUGAGGAGACACAACGUAGGCGGAAUUCAUGGUGUAGCGGUGAAAGGCUUAGAUAUCAUGAAGAACUCGGAUGGCGAAGGCAGCUUACGGGAGUGUUACUGACGCUUAAGAUCGAAGGUGCGGGUAUCGAACAGG
rnacentral:rRNA from 1 species